AUGUGGCAUCAUCAAAAGAAAAUAAGAGCAUAUCUAUACCAAGGCCUUCUAGACAGCAUUCAAGCUGGAGAACAGAAUGGAGAUGCAGUCAGAAAACGGAGAGUACUUGCCUCAUCAUUUAUUGGAGGGCCACGAGAUAAACUUCGUCGGUAUCUGGAUGCUAUGGCUUUAGUUAGAAAAUAUGGAAAGCCAGACAUAUUCCUAACAAUGACCUGCAACCCCAACUGGGAAGAGAUCACACGUGAACUAGAGUUUGGACAAACACCACAAGAUCGCCCAGACAUUGUCGUUCGUGUUUUCAGGGCGAAGCUAGAAGAAAUGAAGAAGCAACUAUUUGAGAAGGCCAUUCUUGGAAAGGUUACGGCAUAUACAUAUGUCGUAGAGUUCCAAAAGAGGGGAUUACCCCAUGCUCACUUUUUGCUCAUCAUGACCGGAAAAUACAAGUGUCCAGAACAGUACAACAGAAUCAUCUCCGCUGAGCUCCCUAACAAGCACAAGUACCCAGAGCUAUACAAAAUGAGAUGGGUGGUUCCUUACAACCCCUGUUAA
rnacentral:rRNA from 1 species